rnacentral:rRNA from 1 species
UACGAACCGAGCAAACGUUAUUCGGAAUCACUGGGCUUAAAGGGCGCGUAGGCGGGCAUCCAAGUCUGUGGUGAAAUCCGGCAGCUUAACUGUCGAACUGCCGUGGAUACUGGGUGUCUCGAGGGAGGUAGGGGCGUGCGGAACUAUUGGUGGAGCGGUGAAAUGCGUUGAUAUCAAUAGGAACUCCGGUGGCGAAGGCGGCACGCUGGACCUCUUCUGACGCUGAGGCGCGAAAGCCAGGGGAGCAAACGGG